GAUGAACGCUGGCGGCGUGCCUAAUACAUGCAAGUCGAGCGAACAGACGAGGAGCUUGCUCCUCUGACGUUAGCGGCGGACGGGUGAGUAACACGUGGAUAACCUACCUAUAAGACUGGGAUAACUUCGGGAAACCGUAGCUAAUACCGGAUAAUAUAUUGAACCGCAUGGUUCAAUAGUGAAAUACGGUUUUGCUGUCACUUAUAGAUGGAUCCGCGCCGCAUUAGCUAGUUGGUAAGGUAACGGCUUACCAAGGCAACGAUGCGUAGCCGACCUGAGGGGGUGAUCGGCCACACUGGAACUGAGACACGGUCCAGACGCCUACGGGAGGCAGCAGUAGGGAAUCUUCCGCAAUGGGCGAAAGCAUGACGGAGCAACGCCGCGUGAGUGAUGAAGGUCUUCGGAUCGUAAAACUCUGUUAGUAGGGAAGAACAAAUGUGUAAGUAACUAUGCACGUCUUGACGGUACCUAAUCAGAAAGCCACGGCUAACUACGUG
rnacentral:rRNA from 1 species